UCUCCCUUUCCCUAAUACCUAACAUCUCAGUCUUUAGGAAGCGCUCUCUUCUACUCGACUCCUGUGGGUGAAAGUUUAACCAAAGAACUGGGGUCCUGCAAACGCCUGGGGUUGGCCUGGUUUUUCCACACAAACGGGAAGUGGUACACCUGCCUCGUUCAUGGUGUGUUCCAGCGGAGCUUCGAGCUGGCGCAGAACUGGGAAGGCAUAUAGGGCUGGCGGGGGAAAGGGGUGUAAAGGUCUCAGGUCAGGGUAACCCCACCCAUCCUGGCUAUUAUCUUCGUGGGGAAUGAGAUUUAAAAAGGUUACCUGACUAACUCAGGAUGAAGUAGCCAUUACGUAGUGAACCUGAGUGAACUCCAGCCCAAGUCCUGUUGCUGGCACGGGUCCUCCUUCAGUGUGCCUCAGGACCUCUCCCGGAUGAGCGAGAAUGGGGACAGUAAUCAGCCCAUCCAGGCUGGGACAUCGCGAACGACGGGCAGCACAUCUACCCUUCCUCAUUCUUUCUCUAGCUCUAUCACAGAAGGAAAAAGCAAAAGCAAGCAAACAGAAUGCUGUUUUAUGUUGCCAUUGUUUGGCCUGGACAGUCAAAGCGUCUCUUUGAAUCUAAUCAGUGGAUUGGAGCAUAGGGUGGGGGCUGGGUUCGUGUCCCCCUACCCUCCACCCCACCCCUGCUUUGGGCUGGGACCUGGAGUCAGGGUCCACCCAGCACGGUCCCCGCCGAGCUGCGCGCGGGUGUGGUCGAGGCGGCGGUGGGUGGGUGUGCGGCUGGUAAUGUCUGGCUCGGCUCCUCGCUUCCGCUUCCUCACAGUCCUUCCUCUCCGGCCCGUACUAUGAAUUAUGUGCUCUGGAACCAACCCGGAGUCCAGAGGGAACCCUACCACCUCCCUCUCUACUGACCAGCCCAAACACCAGACUCUAUUUGUUCUAAGGGAGAAACCACAGCCUCGCGGAAGCCCCACUGCCGCCUCCCAGGUCUGCCGAGCCCCGAGCGCGUCCACCGCCGGUCUCCCUGGCAACAGGCGCCGCCCCAGGGCGCAGCCGCGGCUCCGCGGGGCGGGAGAUUCCUCUUUCUAGGAAGAACUUUACAGCUUCUCUUUGGUGUGUCUGAACUGCUAGCAUCACUAUUCUAGCACUCUGAGGCCAAUGUUAAAUAAACGUUCCUUGAACUUCAGGCUGAGAUACCCUGACAAUGGAUCUGCCAGCCAAUUGGCUAUUAAAAGACUAACGGGUGGGCAGCCAUACAUCGUGGAUACACUGGACAAAAGGAUGGGACAGACACCAUCAGAUUUCAUUAUUCUACUUGGGAUGGCAUGCAAUUUAAAAUGAAUUGUUUAUUUCUGGAAUUUUCUAUUUAACAUUAUGGACUAAAUUUGAAGAUAAAUGAAACCAAGGAAAGCGAAACCACAGAUAGGAGGUGAAGAGCUUUGCUGCACUAUACACUCCCUCCCGUGACCUUCUGCCUUGCCACAAACAAUGAAGCCAACCAACCGUGGUCUGAAACCUCUAAAACCAUGAACUAAAAAACUUUCCUCUUUUUAAUUUGUGUGUUCAGGUAUUUUAUCACGGUGAUGGAAAUCCCACACGUUAUAUGCCGAAAUUUUAUCAAUGUAAUGAGAAUAAUAAGGGUACUAACUACAUAGGGUUUUUGUGGAAAACGGUUUAGUCUUUGUGAAGAACCUCACACAGCACAUGAUACAUAGUGAACAUUAUUAUUAAAGAUACUUCAGUUUAUGAGUUUCUUUAGCAAGGACUAAUGAUUUGCUUUUUAUGCCUGGUGUGGGGCUUGUUUUAGGACUCAGUCAACAUUGGUUUUCUGGAUGUAUGAACAGACAAACAAUACACUGUUCCCCAUUAGCUUUAGUCUGAAUAAACUGAUAAAACAGAGUAGGCAGAAUUAUGCAGAGUCAGAAGAGAUUAUGCCUGUUCUCUGCACACUGAGCACAGCCUCUGGGCCUUGUCACUCACUCGGCAUUGGUGGCUUCUGGCCGAUAUGGACAUAGGUAAGAGGCCUGAGUGCUACCCAGUC